rnacentral:rRNA from 1 species
AUUGAACGCUGGCGGCAGGCCUAACACAUGCAAGUCGAGCGGAGGAAGGGAGCUUGCUCCUGGAUUCAGCGGCGGACGGGUGAGUAAUGCCUAGGAAUCUGCCUGGUAGUGGGGGAUAACGUCCGGAAACGGGCGCUAAUACCGCAUACGUCCUGAGGGAGAAAGUGGGGGAUCUUCGGUCCUCACGCUAUCAGAUGAGCCUAGGUCGGAUUAGCUAGUUGGUGGGGUAAAGGCCUACCAAGGCGACGAUCCGUAACUGGUCUGAGAGGAUGAUCAGUCACACUGGAACUGAGACACGGUCCAGACUCCUACGGGAGGCAGCAGUGGGGAAUAUUGGACAAUGGGCGAAAGCCUGAUCCAGCCAUGCCGCGUGUGUGAAGAAGGUCUUCGGAUUGUAAAGCACUUUAAGUUGGGAGGAAGGGCAGUAAGUUAAUACCUUGCUGUUUUGACGUUACCAACAGAAUAAGCACCGGCUAACUUCGUG